rnacentral:rRNA from 1 species
CCUACGGGUGGCAGCAGUGGGGAAUAUUGGGCAAUGGGCGCAAGCCUGACCCAGCAACGCCGCGUGAAGGAAGAAGGCUUUCGGGUUGUAAACUUCUUUUCUGAGGGACGAAGAAAGUGACGGUACCCCAGGAAUAAGCCACGGCUAACUACGUGCCAGCAGCCGCGGUAAUACGUAGGUGGCAAGCGUUAUCCGGAUUUAUUGGGUGUAAAGGGCGUGUAGGCGGGAAAGCAAGUCAGAUGUGAAAACUCAGGGCUCAACCCUGGGCCUGCAUUUGAAACUGUUUUUCUUGAGUGCUGGAGAGGCAAGCGGAAUGCGGGGUGUAGCGGUGAAAUGCGUAGAUAUACGGAGGAACACCGGUGGCGAAGGCGGCCUGCUGGACUGCAACUGACGUUGAGGCCCGAAAGCGUGGGGAGCGAACAGGAUUAGAUACCCCUGUAGUC